GCACACUUAGCUUUAUGACCCAGAAAAGGAGAUUUCAAACACUAUAAGUCUAGCUUAGGAAAUUGCGUGGUUAGUAACCCAACUCACUUCUCUUCUCUUCUCUUCUCUACUCUCUCUCUCUCUCUCUCUCUCUCUCUCUAUGGCUUGUGUAUGUUGUUCUAUAUUUAGUGGGAGAGGGGGGAGCUUGGGUUCAGGGUGCAACCACAACCCCACAUCUUCCUUCUUUCCCUCACACUAUUAUUAGCUAGACCCUUAAUCCCCCCGACUUGGUUCUGCUUGUUUUAUGCCAAUUCAGUAGGGUUUUUUGUGGGGCUUCAAUACCCUUUUCAUUAUGACCUAGUUCCCCCCCAUGUUCUAUAGAUCUCUAUGUGCCCCCAAUUAUUAAUCUUCAAUAUAUAUCUCCUUUUCUCCAUCUCACCCUUUUACUCCUUAUAACUCCCAUUCCUCCCACUCUAUCAGGCAAUUCUAGCUUCAUCUUACUAGGGAUGAAGGAAAAAUAAUUAUACAUAUAUAUCUAGGUUUGAUCAUCGUCUCUUUACCAUAUUAUCCAUGGGUCUAUGAAAUGCACUCUUCCCGUCCUUGCAUUGAUUUGUGUACAUACAUGGUAGGAAAUAUCCCACUCCUUACCUAAAAAACUAUCACUUAUAGUUUCUUAUUAUGUGGAUAUCAUAUAGUUUCUUAUGGUCCUAAUUAAGGAUGAUGAGAAGCUUAGUGAGAUUGAAUUGUUAAUCACAAGUAAAUUAAUUUAGAGUAAAACUAUAUUUCUAUGUCUGAUAUGAUGUUUAUGCUACAUAUAUCAUUGCAUACAAAUGUAUA